UACGUAGGGGGCAAGCGUUAUCCGGAUUUACUGGGUGUAAAGGGAGCGUAGGCGGCUUAGUAAGUCAGAAGUGAAAGCCCGCAGCUCAACUGCGGGACUGCUUUUGAAACUGCCAGGCUAGAGUGUCGGAGAGGUAAGUGGAAUUCCUAGUGUAGCGGUGAAAUGCGUAGAUAUUAGGAGGAACAUCGGUGGCGAAAGCGCUUUACUGGACCAUUAUUGACGCUGAGGAACGAAAGCCAGGGGAGCAAAUGGG
rnacentral:rRNA from 1 species